UACGUAGGGUGCAAGCGUUAAUCGGAAUUACUGGGCGUAAAGCGUGCGCAGGCGGUUUUGUAAGUCUGACGUGAAAUCCCCGGGCUCAACCUGGGAAUUGCGUUGGAGACUGCAAGGCUAGAAUCUGGCAGAGGGGGGUAGAAUUCCGAGUGUAGAGGUGAAAUUCGUAGAGAUGUGGAGGAACACCGAUGGCGAAGGCAGCCCCCUGGGUCAAGAUUGACGCUCAUGCACGAAAGCGUGGGGAGCAAACAGG
rnacentral:rRNA from 1 species